rnacentral:rRNA from 1 species
AUUGAACGCUGGCGGCAGGCCUAACACAUGCAAGUCGAACGAGUGGCGGACGGGUGAGUAAUGUCUGGGAAACUGCCUGAUGGAGGGGGAUAACUACUGGAAACGGUAGCUAAUACCGCAUACCAUCAGAUGUGCCCAGAUGGGAUUAGCUUGUUGGUGGGGUAACGGCUCACCAAGGCGACGAUCGCUAGCUGGUCUGAGAGGAUGACCAGGCAGACGGGAACUGAGGCACGGUCCAGACUCCUACAGUAGGCAGCGGUGGUGAAGAUUGCACGAUGGGCGAAAGCCGGAUGCAGCCAUGCCGCGUGGAUGAAGAAGGCCUGCGGGUUGUAAAGUACUUUCAGCGGGGAGGCGUUACCCGCAGAAGAAGCACCGGCUAACUCCGUGCCAGCAGCCGCGGUAAUUC